GCAAGCAUGGCUGAAAUGGAUGAGGCUCCUACCUGCAAAGUAGGUUCAUGAGGGUUCAAGUCCCUCUGCUUGCUCCA
rnacentral:tRNA from 2 species